rnacentral:rRNA from 1 species
UACGUAGGGUCCGAGCGUUGUCCGGAAUUACUGGGCGUAAAGAGCUCGUAGGUGGUUUGUCGCGUUGUUCGUGAAAACUCACAGCUUAACUGUGGGCGUGCGGGCGAUACGGGCAGACUUGAGUACUGCAGGGGAGACUGGAAUUCCUGGUGUAGCGGUGGAAUGCGCAGAUAUCAGGAGGAACACCGGUGGCGAAGGCGGGUCUCUGGGCAGUAAUUGACGCUGAGGAGCGAAAGCGUGGGGAGCGAACAGG